AGGUUGGCACAGUUAAUUACAUGCCACCAGAAGCAAUCAAAGAUAUGUCAUCCCGAAGAGAGAAUGGGAAAUCCAAGUCAAAGUGUUGUUUAAUAAGGGACCCUAAACAGAGGAUAUCCAUUCCUGAGCUCCUGGUACAUCCAUAUGUCCAAAUUCAAAUUCAUGCAGGUAACCAGAUAGCUAAGGGAACCACUGAUGAAAUGAAAUAUGUCCUGGGUCAACUUGUUGGUCUGAAUUCUCC